AGGUGAGGAUCCGGAUAUGGAGACAAUCUCUGGAGGCGGCUAAUCAAGGAGGAAGAUCUUGGAUCGGUUCUUGCUGUUUUCCCCUAAUCAGAGCUUGGACUCCUUCCUUGCGGAGGAAAUUUAGGGCUACUGGUUGGACCAGAUCGGCUCACUUUAUACCAACAGGGGCUGAAUGCUCUCGAUCAAUAAGCACGGCUGUGAAGUUACUUGUUCUUGUUCCAACAGUUGCUUACCUUGAAUUCCAGCAGCAAAUAACCCUUCACCAGCAGCAAUCAACGGUUGUGAAUACGACUGUGAAUUGAGGUAAGGAGUAGGGUAAUGAAAUGAAUAUUGUUUAUGUGUUUGAAUUAGGUAUGAGGUAGACUUCAUGAUUAGUAUAAUUGAUUUAGGUUUGGAUUAUUAAUCUAAUGGGUUGAUUGGGGAUUAGGUAACUAACCCUAAUUAACCGUUGGAUUUA